UGUCCAGAUCCGAUCUAACACGAACAAUAGAAAUUAAUAGUACAAUUUACUGUUAUUAUUAAUUCGGCGCCAUGAUAAUGGGUAGUAUCGAGUGCUAUUAAUUAAUUGAAUUAUCGCGUUAGUUUUCGUAGAUUAGUAAAGACUUAUCCAAUAUCGUAUUGUGCAACCAUCUAUGUGAAUUUGAACAGUGAUAGGAACGAAAGUUGUACUUAGAAUUAGGAUUACGACUAGAGUGGAGUUUAAACGAAACGAAGAUUACGCAAACCCUGGACUUCAUACUAUGUGGUUGGGCAACGAUUGUUGCAGAUUUUAAUCUACUCCAGCUGAAGUAGCAGUGCCUAUAUUAUCAAUUGAAAAGGUAUAAUUUGGGAACAUUACACAAACUCAGUUGUUGGACAGUGAGACUGUAGUAAGAGAUCAUCAGAAAGCACUACAGUUCUUUUCAUCCCUUAGGAACAGGUGCAACGAGAACUUUUGCCACAAAAAGUUCUAGUGUCCCACCCGCAAAAGAGAAUGAGCCAUUUCCCAAUAGAAAACUUCAAGAUUACCACGACAUCGAGAGUAAGGAAAAUAGGUAUGGUCAAAAUUCAGUCCAUUAAUUUCAUCCCAACAAUGACAAAAGGACCAUAAAGAAAAUACUUUGUAAAGCUAAUGAAGUCAUGCAUAUUCGAGCUAAAUAGAGAUGUGGAGUUCAGACUCAGCAGAUAAUACCAGAACUACCAGAACAUCGAGAGGGGUGAGAUAUAGUCACAGUCGAGUCCCUUAAUCCCAGUUUAACCAAGGCACGAGUAACAUUAAGUAAUUAAUGCGAACUAUCCACUGUAAAAACAUCUCGGUGAUGGCCAGGAAACCCUAUGGUGUUUGUAAUCAAUUAUAACAGCAAGACCAUCGAGGACCUUAAGGACUACUAGGGUAUCAAGAAGAGACGAGACGUGGUCGAAGCCCAUUUGAGUCUAUCCAGCAAAGCUAAGGCAAGGAAUAUGAA